rnacentral:lncRNA from 1 species
AAAGAUUAAGGAUUUCCCCUGCUGGGCUUUCUUCUUAAUUACUGGGAGGCGAAGUCCCCUUUCUUUCUCUAUGCUAUAUCUCCUAUAGGCAGGCAAUUGUUGCAUCUCCUUUUUAGGACUGCUCUUAGAGUAGCGUCCCAUUCUUCGCCAUAAAGAAAAUCUAUUGUUUUCGCAAAAAGGGACGCUUUAGCUAUCUCUGUUCUUUCUAUCGCUCUUUCCGAGGAAGUACCCCCCUGGGGAGCUUCUUUGUUCCAGGCAACCAAGGCUAAGGUCUCCCUUUAGUGUGUAGCCCCCUAGGAAGAGAAGAUAAGAUGAAGAAGAGGGGCUUCUCUAGUCCAAGAAUUCCUCUCUUCCCUCCAAAUAGCGUAAGAGAAGUAAGAGAAGCGGGUGCUCUUUUCCGGGUGCUCUUCUCCCUCGGUGAGGUGAGUGGCUUGGUCUCCUUGCUUGUCUCUUAGUUGAAUAAGGCUUGCUUUCCCUUUCGUGGAUUGUUCCGUCCUGAUCCCAGAUGAGGAGGGAAGUCGUGAAUUUCUUUCCCAAUAGAGGACUGUUCUCAGUGCCCUAAGCACUUGUCGCCCGGUCUACCACGCGAAAGUGUCCCAAUGACACAUCGGCCUCUACCGUAUCGCAUUCUCGCACAUGCAUAGGUGAUAGCGAGAUCCUGGGCACCAUCCUUUUCAGCCCUUUCCUUUUCUUUGAUUUUAUCAUCGAG